rnacentral:rRNA from 1 species
UACGAAGGGGGCUAGCGUUGUUCGGAAUUACUGGGCGUAAAGCGCGCGUAGGCGGCUUUGUAAGUCAGAGGUGAAAGCCUGGAGCUCAACUCCAGAACUGCCUUUGAAACUACAUCGCUAGAAUCAUGGAGAGGUUAGUGGAAUUCCGAGUGUAGAGGUGAAAUUCGUAGAUAUUCGGAAGAACACCAGUGGCGAAGGCGACUAACUGGACAUGUAUUGACGCUGAGGUGCGAAAGCGUGGGGAGCAAACAGG